CCAAAACAACAUAAAAGUUACAUAGUUCCACAUAAAUCUAAGAUACAUUGUUUCAUACAAAUGAAAGGUACAUAGUUCCACAUAAAUAUAAGAUACAUUGUUUCAUACAAAUGAAAGGUACAUAGUUCCACAUAAAUCAAAGAUACAUUGUUUCAUACAAAUGAAAUGUACAUAGUUCCACAUAAAUCAAAGAUACAUUGUUUCAUACAAAUCAUAAGCUCAAAGCUUCAUAUAAAGCAAAGAUACAUAGUGAUAGCAGAUAACAUAGCAUUCAUGUAGUACUUUGGUAUUGCUCACGGUCUUCCCACAUGGCAUUAGCAAUUUGUUGUCUAAAGUUAACCAUAAAGGCAUGUUCCAUUGCUUGUCCAUGCGAUGAUCUUUGAUGAUUAAUACUAGGUAGCUCAUCUUCGGCCUCAGGUACAAUGAACUCAUCACCCCCAUCUUCUAUGACCCAAUUAUGUAUAAUGCAUGAAGCAACAACAAUCUCUACUUGUGUUGGGAAGGGGAAAAAUGGUAUAGCAUCAUCUAAAAUUUUGAAUCGCCUCUUCAAAGAUCCAAAGGCACGCUCUACUGUAACUCUGAGGGAUGAGUGCCUAUGGUUGAACAAUUCCUUCUCAUUUUGAACCGGAUUAUUGCCCCACUCAUUCAAGUGGUACCUCACACCACGAAAAGGGGGUAAAAACCUGGUUUGGCUCCGUAUCCCGCAUCAACUAGGUAGAAUUUGC
rnacentral:lncRNA from 1 species